UCGGGAAUAUUGGACAAUGGGGGAAACCCUGAUCCAGCAAUACCGCGUGUGUGAAGAAGGCCUGCGGGUUGUAAAGCACUUUCAGUUGGGAAGAUAAUGACGUUACCAACAGAAGAAGCACCGGCUAACUCCGUGCCAGCAGCCGCGGUAAUACGGAGGGUGCAAGCGUUAAUCGGAAUUACUGGGCGUAAAGCGCACGUAGGCGGCCUUUUAAGUCAGAUGUGAAAGCCCCGGGCUCAACCUGGGAACUGCAUCUGAUACUGGGAGGCUAGAAUCUGGGAGAGGGGAGUGGAAUUUCCGGUGUAGCGGUGAAAUGCAUAGAGAUCGGAAGGAACAUCAGUGGCGAAGGCGACUCCCUGGACCAAGAUUGACGCUCAGGUGCGAAAGCGUGGGUAGCAAACA
rnacentral:rRNA from 1 species